GGAAUAUUGCACAAUGGGCGAAAGCCUGAUGCAGCAACGCCGCGUGAGGGAUGACGGCCUUCGGGUUGUAAACCUCUUUUAGUAGGGAAGAAGCGAAAGUGACGGUACCUGCAGAAAAAGCACCGGCUAACUACGUGCCAGCAGCCGCGGUAAUACGUAGGGUGCAAGCGUUGUCCGGAAUUAUUGGGCGUAAAGAGCUCGUAGGCGGUUUGUCGCGUCUGCUGUGAAAUCUGGGGGCUCAACCCCCAGCCUGCAGUGGGUACGGGCAGACUAGAGUGCGGUAGGGGAGAUUGGAAUUCCUGGUGUAGCGGUGGAAUGCGCAGAUAUCAGGAGGAACACCGAUGGCGAAGGCAGAUCUCUGGGCCGUAACUGACGCUGAGGAGCGAAAGCAUGGGGAGCGAACAGGAUUAGAUACCCCAG
rnacentral:rRNA from 1 species